UACGGGAGGCAGCAGUGGGGAAUAUUGCACAAUGGGCGCAGGCCUGAUGCAGCCAUGCCGCGUGUAUGAAGAAGGCCUUCGGGUUGUAAAGUACUUUCAGUCGUGAGGAAGGUGUUAAGGUUAAUAACCUUAGCAAUUGACGUUAGCGACAGAAGAAGCACCGGCUAACUCCGUGCCAGCAGCCGCGGUAAUACGGAGGGUGCGAGCGUUAAUCGGAAUUACUGGGCGUAAAGGGCACGCAGGCGGUUAAUUAAGUUGGAUGUGAAAUCCCCGGGCUUAACCUGGGAAUGGCAUUCAAGACUGGUUAGCUAGAGUCUUGUAGAGGGGGUAGAAUUCCAUGUGUAGCGGUGAAAUGCGUAGAGAUGUGGAGGAAUACCGGUGGCGAAGGCGGCCCCUGGGACAAAGACUGACGCUCAUGUGCGAAAGCGUGGGGAGCAAACAGGAUUAGAUACC
rnacentral:rRNA from 1 species